UACGUAGGGGGCUAGCGUUGUCCGGAUUAUUGGGCGUAAAGAGCGUGUAGGCGGCCGGUAAGUCCGUUGUGAAAGUCAAGGGCUCAACCCUUGAACGCCGAUGGAUACUGUCGGGCUAGAGUGCGGAAGAGGCGAGUGGAAUUCCUGGUGUAGCGGUGAAAUGACGCAGAUAUCAGGAGGAACACCGGUGGCGAAGGCGGAUCUCUGGGCCAUUACUGACGCUGAGGAGCGAAAGCGUGGGGAGCGAACAGG
rnacentral:rRNA from 1 species